GAAUAUAAUGCCGACUACAGAACAACAACAAAAAAUGCCCCCUUGAGAGAGAAGUAGUCUCAAUUUACUUUAAAAUAUUCUGGUAGUUAACUUUUUUCCCCCAAAAAACUUGUACUAGAAACAAUUGUGAUAAUUGUAUCUUGCUAUAAUUUGCAAUUAAAUUGAUUUAAAUGGGUAACUCUGUUACUUUUUAAGUAACUGCUGUUAUAUGAGGGAAAUCAUAGCCAUCUUUAAAAAAUGUGUUUCCUGCUAUAACUUAUGUGUUAGAAUAUUCACACUUUCUCAAGUUUUUCUAUGCAAUUGCAAGAGAAGUUAAACUCAUUUAUUGUACANNNNNNNNNNCUCCUAAAAGACCAAGAGGAAGACCCAAGGGAAGCAAAAACAAGAGUCCCUCUAAAGCAGCUCAGAAGAAAGCAGAAGCCACUGGUGAAAAGCGACCUAGAGGCCGGCCCAGGAAAUGGCCUCAACAAGUGGUUCAAAAGAAGCCUGCUCAGGAAGAGACUGAAGAAACGUCCUCACAAGAAUCUGCAGAAGAAGACUAGGAGAUCACACCAUGCAAUUUCUACCUCAUCAGCAGUUGGGUCUUUUGAAGGGAGAAGACACUGCCUUGACCACUUACUUUCUAUUGCCAUGGUCUUUCCACUUUUGCCUGGGGGGAAAAAAAUCACAUAACCUUAAAAAGGAUUUGACUAAUCAUCUUCUUUGUAAUCCCUUCACAGUCCCAGGUCUAGUGAAAAACUGCUGUAACACAAAGGGGACACAGAUUAACGAUGCAACUUCUAAUUACUGUUUUCUUUUUUCCUAACCUACUAAUAGUUUGAGCUGCUAAGUAAGGGUGACUGGGUCAAGAAGAGCUCCAAAUCAGGUUUAUGUCAUUCACUGCACUGCGUAUAAACAAGAAACUUGUAAAAUAGUCAUUAUAAUGGGCAUUGAAAUAGGAAAGGCUGGGUGUAUAACACUUACGCCUUGCAACACUUCCAGCAACCCACUCCCUACUUAGUGAACUCCCUGUUUUAGAACACCAAAGAUAUGGGAUAGAUACUAUUCUUUUUCUUUUGUAACCUUCUUGUAGACUUGUACUUGAUUUUUUUUUUAAGACUUACUGUUAUUUGGGGAAAAACAAAAUGAAAGCUGAUCUUUCAUUUCAUACAGAUGGUAAUCAGAAGAAAGAAAUCAACAUGAAAAAGGUACUUCCAUUUUGCAAAAGGGAAGAAAGACAAAGAUACGUUGUAUAGUUAUAGAUACAAACAUAUCAGCACAAGCAGUAGUAAACCAAAUGAACAGUCCUUAUCAUCUUAUGGUAAUAGGAAGCCAGGGAGUUGGCUUUCUUAGAGCCAGGAGUUUUCUAUAGAAACAAAAAUUACUGACACCACUAUUAUGCCAUUAAUGAGUAAGUCUUUAUUGAUGAAAGUAUUUUAAAACAUACAGAAAGGUACCUAGAAAUUAAUCAUAAAUUUAUCUGAACAAAAAUAAUCCAGAUUUUUGCUUAGUUUCUACUAAUUCCACUUGCCCUGUACCAGUAUUUUGAAAGAAUUGAAUCUUUCCUCAUUACUCAUCAGUCACAAUGUAAGAAUGAACACCAUGUACCUCAGCUAAGCUCAUGCAUUACAUUAAGCAAUGGAUUUUGACAUAGGAUGGUUCACUGAGCACUUCUGUGCCAGUGGCAUUUCUCCAUCUUUUCACUCAAAGCAGCACUUUUAGCACCAAAUGCAAUAUUACCCCACUAUUCAAUACUACCUCUGAUUUUUUACAAAUAACUCAACAGACUGAUAAAUACAUGCUGCUAUACACAUUCAGUGCAGGAAAUUUUUACUGGGUAGAUAAUCAUGAGUAUCUGCAUUUUCCCCUUUUUUCUAUUUCAACCUUUUUUUGCAGUUAAGAAAGCAAUGUCUUUUUUGUGUUUCAGCAUGACUUUGUGUUUUUCUUUCACUUGUUUUUUUUUUUUCUUUUUUUUUGUGUGUGGGUUUUUGGUUUUGGUUUUGUUUUUUAUUUUAUGUACUUACUCUAUUCUCUGCUAGACUUCUGUGUAAUGUACUGUUAACUUGAAUAUAUUUUUGUAUUGAAUUGCUGAUAGGUUUGUGAGGAUAAUUUUCUUCAAGGACACUACAUGACAGAAAAAAUUUAGCUGUAAAGUUUAAAUAUUACUGUCCAAGUUUGUACCUCAAAUGAAUUGUUUAAAGAAAUGGACUAAUUGAUUGACAAAGACCUACCUCCAGACUUUAAAUGGAAUGAACUUGUUACUUUCAGCAUCAGUUUUGAGACGUUUGAAACAGUUAGGACUGCAACUAAUCCCUAAUUCAAAAUUAUUUUUGUAAAAUAACUUGUGGAAAAUGAACACAUUUUAAAUUACUUUCGUAUUAAAAAUUUUAAAAAAUGAACAAAAAAAACCUUCAAAGAAACUUGAAGCUUUGUAGGUGGGAAGCAACAAGCUCAGCUUUUGCAUAAUGCAAUCACAAAUAUGUGUUUUUAAAAAAAAAAUUAGUAGAUUGUAAGAAAAUACUUGACAAGUAUUUUCGUGUAUUUUACACAAAUGUGAUUUUGUAAUAUGUUUCAGCCAGAUUUAUUUUAAAUGCUUCUUAUGUAGAGGUUUUUUAUUCUCCCCUCUCUCACUUUUGUUGUUCUUUCUCUCUCUCUCUCUCCCCCACCUCCAAUUUCAUUUUCUCUAUUUCUGUUUUAUUUCCCUUCUUCCUCUCUUUCCUAGUCAGUACUUUGUACCAUUGUAUUAAUAACUGGGCCAGGGGUAGUUUCUCAGGAAGGCAUCUGUUGGUAUGGCUUUAGCAUGGAGCCAAGUGCAGUUAAGGAUAACGACUUACUGGCUUCUUCCAAGAGGCAGUGUCAAGAAAUACAGACCUCCACGAAAGACUGCACAGGGUUCAGUGGCAGGAAUUACUGGGAAAGAGCUGAUUGGAUUAUUACAACUAGACAUGAUAAUAUCAAGUGAAAGAGAAAUAAUCCUAGCUAUAAGUAGCUCUAACAGGCCAAAUCCAGUGUCACUUGAAGGCAGUAGCAGGAAUUUUGCUGACUUCAAAGGGCAUCAAAUCAAGCCUUAGCAAGUCCCUUUUGGGGUCUGAGGGGUUUUGUUGCAUUUUUAAAGCCACGGUAUUCAGUGGAUGACACAGAAAUAAUUGUUCUCUGUGUGUCACUCUUCAACCUCUGAGAGACUUACCACUCUGAUGAACUGAAUCUUACAUUUUCUAUAUAUUGUAGUACAAUCAAAACACAUUACUACCUCUUAGGGCCUACUAUACCUCAUUUUUUCAGAUGGAAAAAUUGCAUGUGGCCAUUGAGUCAGUGAGAACAUCAUAAAAUUUUUUUAUAUAUAUAGUUUAUUUUUGUGGGAGAUAAAUUUUAUACGACUGUUCUUUGCUAUCAUUGGUCACUGCUAACUAUGACUGGACAUGUAACUCUUCUACCAUUUCUGCAAGAGAGGUGUGUUUGCAGGAAAAAGAAAUUGCUUCAAGAUGUUGAACUACAGUUUACUUUCCUUUUGAGUGUCUUCUAACUUUUUGCUUUGUUCUUCAUGUAGAGUUGCUGUCUAUGAUUGUACUUCAAAUCGCUUGCUUGUUGAAAAUGUUCCUUUAAUGGUUUAUCACAGUCUGUUCAGCACAAUAAACAUAAUAGCCUCUGUGAUCCCCA
ensembl:lncRNA